GCGCGUCGUUAGGGGUGGUCGGCGGCACCGUUCGCCGACCUGAGAGCACACCCUUCGAACCUGAACUGGUUGAUACCAGCGUAGGGAAACGGCAAAGACAAGCG
rnacentral:ncRNA from 2 species